UAGAAUUGAUUUUAAUAAAUAUUAGGUUAAAUGUAAAAGGGCUCUGUAAUCAAGGCUAGUCGGUGUUGGGUCAAUCAACCACAACAUUGCGUCGCUACACUACUGCAAGAAAGGUCCUCGAAAAAGUCAGAGAUGGAGUGGACCUGGACAUUUGAGUCAUAUCCAAGAAAUAGACCUCUAGUCUAAAACUUCUCUCUCACCGUGUCUUCAACGUCUUGGACUAACUUCUCAUCCUACCUUGGCCCGAGGAAAGGGUUUGGAUCUGCAUAAUGUAAUCCAGUUCAAGGUACUGCAGAUUCUACUGUGCUAAGUGGCCUUUUGAUGUGAUUUUCUUAGCAAAGUUUGAACACCGACAUUAAAACGGUUGCAAAGUAAAGAUCUGUGGUAUCUACAUGAACUGCAAACUCAUGGCAUCUGGACUUUCAUACCUAAGGUGUUUUCCAUCUCUUCAAGUUGAAAAGACUGCAGAGCUUGAAUCCCCUGCAACAUUAUGCUUCAUAUGGAACAUCAGGCAGCCUACAUAUUCAAGCUCCCUUUUCCAGCUCUAAGCAAGAGGGACCAC